GGAUAACUUACCCUUAGGACUGGGAUAACUCUGGGAAACUGGGGAUAAUACUGGAUAUUAGGCUAUGCCUGGAAUGGUUUGCCUUUGAAAUGUUUUUUUUCGCCUAAGGAUAGGUCUGCGGCUGAUUAGGUCGUUGGUGGGGUAAUGGCCCACCAAGCCGAUGAUCGGUACGGGUUGUGAGAGCAAGGGCCCGGAGAUGGAACCUGAGACAAGGUUCCAGACCCUACGGGGUGCAGCAGGCGCGAAACCUCCGCAAUGUACGAAAGUGCGACGGGGGGAUCCCAAGUGUUAUGCUUUUUUGUAUGACUUUUCAUUAGUGUAAAAAGCUUUUAGAAUAAGAGCUGGGCAAGACCGGUGCCAGCCGCCGCGGUAACACCGGCAGCUCGAGUGGUAGCUGUUUUUAUUGGGCCUAAAGCGUUCGUAGCCGGUUUGAUAAGUCUUUGGUGAAAGCUUGUAGCUUAACUAUAAGAAUUGCUGGAGAUACUAUUAGACUUGAAGUCGGGAGAGGUUAGAGGUACUACCGGGGUAGGGGUGAAAUCCUAUAAUCCUGGGAGGACCACCUGUGGCGAAGGCGUCUAACUGGAACGAUCUUGACGGUGAGUAACGAAAGCCAGGGGCGCGAACCGGAUUAGAUACCCGGGUAGUCCUGGCCGUAAACGAUGUGGACUUGGUGUUGGAAUGGCUUUGAGUUG
rnacentral:rRNA from 1 species